AUGCAUCUGCUAGAUGUGUACCACCAGGCCCUGUCCAUGCUCAUCUGUGGCCUCCUGCCCUUCAUCGGCGGGGGGCUGUGCGUUCUACUGCCAGAGACCCUCAACACUGAGCUCCAAGACUACAUAGACCCACUCGAGGAGAAGACAAUAACAUUGGAGAGCGUGACUAUUGAAAACUGACUCGAUGAGGAGGAGAAACCAACUGAAUUGAGGAGCUCAAAAUUCUGAUCACUGUCUGGUCCAUACUCCCUGGAGGUGUGAGUUAGUUAUUACUCUAAAAUAUAUCUUAUUUUUUGUAAAUGAUACCACCUUUUGGGACUGAUAUUUUUUUUUUAAUGCAUGAAUAAUACAAAAUUAUUAAUGUUGUGCAUAAAAUAAAACGGACCCAUCACAAUUUGAAUAUUGUUGAUAACUCUCAUGACCCCAUCCAAAAUGGAUGGGUCCUUUUAUUUUAUCACCAUCACAAUAUUGAUCUUGGUGAUAAAAUAAAACGGACCCAUCACAAUAUUGAUCUAGGUGAUAAAAUAAAACGGACCCAUCACAAUAUUGAUCUUGGUGAUACCUCUCAUGAACAGAAGAUGGUGCCAAGUAACUUAUCAAUGGGAGAAAUGGUACAGAUAUUACAGUGCCUCUGGAAACUGCCACCAAAUUGCUUAGAUAAAUGUUAGUGGGACUGCAGAUAAAUUAAAAAGUCUCAAUCGAACAGUAGUAUACUAUUGAUAUAAUAACUCUGUAGCCAUAUGAACUUGAAACUAUCAUUUUUCUUAGACACUUUACAGAUAAACCUGGAUCCUGAUGUCCUGCAUGUCACAUAGGACCCAUUGUAUCCCAUUUUAUACAUAUUCUUUCCAUGCACAUGGGUGAACAAUGUGAGAAAUGCCACAUAUAGAUGGACAGUAAUUGCAUGUCUGGAGAGCUGUGGAUGUGCAGUUACGGCAGACCAAGCCUGUCUCAACGCUUCCAUAAUUGCCAUGGGAAGUGAAGAAAAGAUCUGAUGGCUCUCUGGGGUCAACGGAAGGUGAACUGUGACAAGUAAAAACGAAAUGGGAAUUCAGGAACCUACCAUUUACAAAUAGUGUCCUGGAUCUGUACAAAUAAAUGUGGAUAUUUUAAGAACCAAAAUCCUACAAAAAAAGUACUUUGACGUUUCUCCCCUGCCUUGGCUUCCUCUCAUUGAACAAGGAAGGAAAAUAAAUCUCAUUACAGAACUGAAAUGGCAGGUAAAAAUGUCAAUUGAGGACCCUUGACUUUGUCUGAUUCAAAGCAUGUGGUUGGGGGAUUUUUGCAAAUACAAAUGAGCUGAGAACAUACAAUGGUGCAUGUAGAUGAGCCCUUUUUCAGCGACAUGUUUGAAUGGACCAAAAUAUGUGUUGCAGUUAGAAAACCUUUGAGAUGGGACACAUUUUUUGAUGGAACAAUUUUGUGAAAUUGUCUACAAUUCCAUCUCUCUGGAAAUAUCAAUCUGCAUAACGUAAUAUCAUUGAUAAGCCAGAGUUCAAAACUUUCAUAUGAAAUAUUUAUUUUCAUGGUUUCUAAUAUAAGGUAAAUUGGACCCAUAAUACAUUUGCAUGCGCUAUAUUCAGAAAAACGCCCCUCCUUGCGAGUGCUCGUUGCUACUCAACAUUUUUAAACGGCACCGCGAGCCAAGAGGGUUAGUGCAAACCGGAACCCUUGGGACGUCCGUACCAUAACUUUAUCCCCUACCAUUAACCCUUACCUUUUUUAUUUCAACUUUAAAGGGGUAGUGACGUCCAAAGGAUCCAAGAUAGCAAGGACAGAGUAAAGAGGGUCUAGUGCACGGUGCGGUGCGCAUCUGAGGUCUUAGAGCUGUCUGAAACGCACGGAGUUUUGUCAUGUUUUCUUCGAAUAACUGGAGCACUUUUUCACUUAUGCUCGCAAGGAGAUAAUAAUCAUGAUCAACAUUAGUGUCAAAACACAUAACUAACUGGCUGUUUUACGCAGAAUAUUAAAAGGAACUUGGCUAAUGGAGAGGAUGGAAAACUCAACUAUCCCUUUUAUCAAGAGGGAAACUCUCAAUAUAUAGCCAGGUAAGACCAAUCUUUUCCCCCUUAAGUUAUAUUAUUUGGGCUAGUUUCGUGGCUAUUACUGUAGUUUUGUGGUCCACUUGGUACAGUACAGGCUAAUCUUUCAGAGAUGGUUCAUUCCAGUAACCUACUAUCUCUGACAAAAAAAAACAAUUUAAUGCAAGACAAUACUUUAUUUAACAGCAACUUGUAUAUUUAUUCAUGAUUCAUAUAAUAACCAGAAUAUCUACAGCUAUUUUUCAUUCGAAACACGUGUGUUGCUCUGUUAUUACAUAAUCCAAACUGCUCACCUCCUAGGCUUACAAAAUGUAGGUAGUUAUUUUAUUUGCGAGUGAAAUUAAAACCAUGAAUACAUUUCGUUUUCAUUAUGACGUUGUGCCAGUAAUAUAAUAUUGUUAUGUAGUUAUUGUGUAAUAGGAUGCCAGUUUACAAUGUCUAGAUGCCCCCAUUUAUCCUGCAUUUUCUGUCAUUUAUGCUCAUCAAAUAUCUUCUGCAAUGACCAUUGAUUGACUAAUUCAUUCAUGUGAUUGCCUGCAUGAAAAUCCAAUUUACUCAAUUCUACAGUCUUAUUUUAUUUUCUCAUAAUACAGUUGAAGUUGGAAGUUUACAUACACCUUAGAUAAAUACAUUUAAACUCCGUUUUUCACAAUUCCUGACAUUUAAUCCUAGUAAAAAUGCCCUGUCUUAGGUCAGUUAGGAUCACCACUUUUUAUUUUAAGAAUGUGAAAUGUCAGAAUAAAGUAGAGAGAAUUAUUUAUUUCAGAUUGUAUUUCUUUCAUCACGUUCCCAGUGGGGCAGACGUUUACAUACACUCAAUUAGUAUUUGGUAGCAUUGCCUUUUACAUUUUUUAACUUGGGUCAAACGUUUCGGGUAACCUUCCACAAGCUUCCCACAAUAAGUUGGGUGAAUUUUGGCCCAUUCCUCCUGACAGAGCUGGUGUAACUGAGUCAGGUUUGUAAGGCCUCCUUGCUCGCACACGCUUUUUCAGUUCUGCCCACACAUUUUCUAUAGGAUCGAGGUCAGGGCUUUGUGAUGGCCACUCCAAUACCUUGACUUUGUUGUCCUUAAGCCAUUUUGCCACAACUUUGGAAAUAUGCUUGGGGUCAUUGUCCAUGUGGAAGCCCCAUUUGUGACCAAGAUUUAACUUCCUGACUGUUGUCUUGAGAUGUUGCUUCAAUAUAGCCACAUUUUCCUACCUCAUGAUGCCAUCUAUUUUGUGAAGUGCACCAGUCCCUCCUG
rnacentral:lncRNA from 13 species